rnacentral:misc_RNA from 1 species
AACCAAUAAAAUCAAUCAUCUUCAGUUUUGAAAGACUUAGGCAACUAAGUUUUUCUUCGUGACUUCACGAAGGGCCUAUAGCUCAGUUGGUUAGAGCACACGCCUGAUAAGCGUGAGGUCGGUGGUUCAAGUCCAUUUAGGCCCACCAGAGUUAUAGGUUUCGUAAGAACACAAAUUCUUUGAAAAUUA